CCUUCUCACCCGUGCACGUGGUCCCUUGGAGGCAGGAGCUGAGAUCUGGCCAAAAGAAACAUUCAGUGAGCAUACCUGGAAAUGGAGUCCUCAUGCCAAGCCAACAAUGGUGAGAAAAUCCACUGGAGAGCAAGAUGGGGAACUUUAAAAACAGAAGCAAUGAAACAACGGAACAAAAAUGAAGCUUAAGACCAGAUCCUCAGCGUCAGAGAGGGCAGGGGGACGGAGUGGCAUAGAAGACUGGAGGAGACAAGAAAAGGUUUGAAACCCAUGCUAGAGAUGAGCAGUAGGACUGGCUUUGUGGUAAUAGCUGCAUACAUUUGGUGAGGACCCAGCCAGCAACCAAGGAUGAUUCUAGAGGAUCAGCAGAGAAGUUGACUAGCCAUCUCCUAAUAGAAAGAUAACAGCCACAAGGUGAAAGAUGAAGCUGACAUUGGAUUAUGAGGGAAUUUGUUUUGCUUGAUUAUGCAUA